ACCUGUAGUCUCAGCUACUCGGGAGGUUUAGGCAGGAGGAUCAUUUGAGCCCAGGAGUUCUGGGCUGUAGUGCGCUAUGCUGACCCACUAAAUUCUGCAUCAACAUGGUGACCUCCUGGGAGUAGGGGACCACCAGGUUGCCUAAGGAGGGGCGGACAGGUCCUGGUCAGAAACAGAGCAGGUGAAAGCUCCUGGGCUGAUUAAUAGUGGGAUAGCACUUGUGAAUAGCCACUGCACUUUAGCCUGGGCAAUAUAGCAAGACUUUGUCUCU
rnacentral:SRP_RNA from 1 species